CUACUAAACCCCUCCAUUGUAUUUCCUUAUUAUUGUUAUCAUGUUGUGCAAAUGAAGUAUUCCUUGAGCGUUACUUUGAGUACUUGAUCAACUUAGAGAGUCAGAGGUAGGAAAACCGAAUUGACCCUUUGAUGAGCCUAAACAUUAAAACAUUGGCCCUAUAUACGUGACAAUUUCGCUUAGGAUUAGACCGUGACUCCUACCAAGGCUCGUUCAUAAACACAAUAUGCAACAUUGGAUCCAUUUAACUCUUAAUUCAAUAUUUACUUAUCAGGAAUGAGAAAAUGAAGGAACGAAAGAACUUAAAAAAUAUAAAAAGUAAGGAAGGGGAAUCGGAUCAACUAGCCCCCCUAGUUGAUGUGCUUCCUUAUUUUUAGGUAUUUGAUAACGAAUUUAAAGAAACAUUUUUCCGAGUUUUUACGAGUUGGUAAAUACAAGAGAACAUUUAGAUAAUUACUUCCAAAAUCAUUCGACAGCUAGUAACUUCCCAUAGAAAUAGACAAUGGCUACCUGAAUCCAGCUCCAUCGUCUCCAUCGUCAACCUCAAAGAUCACAGAAUGGAGCUUGCUCUUUCCAUCCUCUUCCUCUCGCAGCUUCUCCUCUUUUCUUUGUCCUGCCCCUGCCAGAGGCAGCCUUCAACGUUCCCACUCUCCAGGUUUCGAAUUUGGUCGUCGCGCUGGUUCCGGCAGGCAAUUGUUUGAAGAUAACGAGUGUCAGAUGCGGUAUUUAUCACUGAAUUUGAAGUUUAGUAACUUAACAUGAAUCUUCUUUCUUGAGAAAACUGCCGCUCAAGAAUUUAGUGCUUUGCAGCGCUAUGGUACCUAGAGCCUUGUUCCUUAUCAUCCCACCAUGAAUCUUCUUCCAAACUAGUGGGUAUGCAAGAUAAAACGACGUGCAUAUGGUUCAAUCGAGAGACAUAAGGCGAGGUUAUGGCCAGUGGUUUUCAUAAAAAGACCAGGGAUUGGCUGCGACAAGACUUUUAGUCCUGCUGUAAAGCACAGUCCCAUUCAGCUUGUGCUUGGUUUGGCAGUGUCAAAGAAGGGGCAUGUAAGGCUGUUGGACAUCCAGAACGCUUUCUUGCGUGGUUAUCUCACUGAGGAAGUUUAUCUGAAACAAACAGCGGGUUUCAUUGACAAGCAGUACCUGCACCAUGUUUACAAGUUGCAGCAGUGUAUAUGGGUUAAAACAAGCGCCGAGAGCUUGUUUUCAGAUAUUCUCUGAUUUCUUGCUUCAAUUGGGAUUUCAAGAAUCCAAGUGUGAUUAUUCUUUGUUUGUGUUCAAUCAAACAGGAGUAUAUCUCACCUUACUAAUCUAUGUGGAUGAUAUAUUGCUCAGAGGAAACAACACUUAUCAAAUGGCUCGAUUGAUAAAGAGACUGGGCACUUCAUUUUCCAUGGAGGACUUGGGUCCUCUCAACUACUUCCUAGGUGUUGAAGUAACUUGCUCUGGUGAUCAAAUGCAUUAAAUUUACCAAUGCCAAGCCAAUCUGGACUCCAGUUUCUUCUGGACAAAAACUGAGUGCUUUUGGGGAUUGAAUUAUACCAAUGUGUUGUAGGUGCCCUACAUUAUUUGACCAUUACGAGACCUGAUCUUUCUUAUGUUGUGAACCAAGUGUGUCAGUCCUUACAUUCGCCCAGCAACACUGAGGAUCCUACGUUAUUUGAAGGCUACCUAUGAUCAGGGUCUUGUUUAUAGACCUGGAGGUGUACAAUUGACUGCUUUCUCUGAUUCAGAUUAUGUAGAGAACCUAGACACACGCCAUUCAACUGGAGGCUUCUGUGUAUACUUGGGUAAAAACUUAAUAUCAUGGAGUUCGAAGAAACAGAAAACAGUUUCCACAUCUAGCACUGAAGCUGAAUAUAGGCAGCUUGCAUACACUGCCGCUGAGGUGCCUUGGUUAUGUUCGUUGUUUAGGGACAUACAUUAGAAUCUUCUAAGAUAACAGAUUUGGUAUGAUAAUUUGUCUUCCAUUGCCUUAGCAUCCAAUCCAGUUUUCCACUCGAGAACCAAGCACUUAGAAGUUGAUUAUCAUUAUGUCAGGGAGAAGGUGAUUAGAGGUGAGCUACUAGUGAAUUUUAUUUCGAUUUAAACUGCUGGUGUUCAAGCUUCCAGUUGUGCUACGAUCUGUCAGCUUGCCGAGGGAUGUCAGACCAACUCAGACUUCUAGUUUCCAAUCAUACUCUCAGGUUUGUUAUCUGUGUGAUUCAUCCUUAUCUCAACACAAGUCUGUUAGGUCUGGGAUUAUUUGAAUAUUUCUUAGCUGAGUUAAUUAGUAUGAUUUGCUUUUGACAAAAAAUAAAAAUAAAAAUUAGUAUGAAGGUUAAACAUCAAGACGACCUAGUAAAUAGGGUUUUGAAAGGGUAUGCAAAUUCAGCUGAAAACCUACCAAUGAUGUCAGGCACAACACUUUCAAUGCUUAGUUUUUGCAUCACCAAAGCCAAGUUUUAAUCAAACCAAAGUUGUUGAGCAAAAAGUGUUGUUUCCUUAGCAACGUUUCUGUUUCUGGA